rnacentral:rRNA from 1 species
UACGAAGGGGGCUAGCGUUGUUCGGAAUUACUGGGCGUAAAGCGAGCGUAGGUCUUGGCAAGUCAGUGGUGAAAUCCCGGGGCUUAACUCCGGAACUGCCAUUGAAACUGCCAAGCUGGAACUCUCAGAGGGGAUGAGCGGAAGUUCCAAAUGUAGGGGUGAAAUCCGUAGAUAUUUGGAGGAACACCGGUGGCGAAGGCGGCUAUCUGGAUGAGUAUUGACACUGAGGCUCGAAAGCGCGGGGAUCAAACAGG